rnacentral:lncRNA from 1 species
CUUUUAUUACAAUAUGACCCAUGCCAUUGCUUGUUAAAUGAAGGUUUCAAAUGAUUUUUGUCUCGUAGUGCAAGUGAAAUGCAACAGGACAUCAGUAAUGGUUAUGGCCUCAAGGUGCAAAGUUCCAGACUCCCACAGGCAUGCUGAAUCCAGUCCAGACAAAGAAUGUGUGUGGGAGGACCUCCUGCUAAAAUAAUUAUGUACCAAUAUAUUCGUACAUCACUGGUGAGACUGAAAAUGGAUGAAACCAUUAUGGAAAGCAGUAUGGAGAUUCCUCAGAAAACUUGGAAUGGAACCACCAUUUGACCCAGCUAUCCUACUGCUCUGUUUAUACCCAAAGGACUUCAGCAUUCUACAGUGACACAGCCACAUCAAUUUGUAUAGCAGCUCAACUCACAUUAGCUAAACUAUGGAACCAAUGUGCCUUCAACAGAUGAAUGGAUAAAGAAAAUAUGGUAUAUAUACAAAAUGGAAUAUUACUUAGCCUUAAAGAAGAAUGAAAUGAUGACAUUUUCUGGUAAAUAGAUAGAGCUAAAGAAUAUCAUGCUAAGUGAAAUAAGCCAAUUCCCCCAAAUCAAAGGCUGAUGUUUUCUCUGAUAUGCAGAUGCCAAUUCACAAUAAGCAGGGGUGAUGAAGAAUAGAGUCAAUUUGGAUUAGGCAGAGGGGAGCAAAGUCAGGGGAGGGGGAUGGAGGGUAGGAAGGGUAAUAGAAUGAAUUGGACAUUAUGACCCUAUGCACAUAUAUGACUACAUGACUGGUGUGAUUCUACAUUAUGCACAACCAGAAGAAUGAGAAGUUAUACUCCAUUUAUGUAUGAUGUGUAAAAGUGCAUUCUACUGUCCUAUUUGACUAAUUAGAACAAAAAAAAAACAGAAAAAAUAUAUAAUUUUUAAACAGGAUUUCAAAUAGAGAUUUUGUCCUAAUUAUUAGUUCUGAAUUAUGGCUUAAUUUAACUCUUUUCUUUUCCAGCUAUAGAUAGACAGAGGCUUUCAAAAUUAUUUUAGACUCAAAAGAUCUCUGGGCUAUGCAUAUUAUUCUGAUACCUUUGAGUUAAAAAUUCUUCUAGCCUGCAGUAAGAUCAAUUUGCUGAGCUUUUUGAUAAAGAACUUAAAUCCAUC